rnacentral:rRNA from 1 species
GAGUUUGAUCCUGGCUCAGAACGAACGCUCGCGGCGUGCCUAACACAUGCAAGUCRAACGAGAAAUCCCUGCUUGCAGGGCGAGUAAAGUGGCGGACGGGUGAGUAACGCGUGGGUAAUCUACCAUUGAGACAGGGAUAACAUCUCGAAAGGGGUGCUAAUACCGGAUAAGCCCACGGAGUCUUUGGACUUUGCGGGAAAAGGGGGGGACCUUUUGGCCUUCUGUCGUCAGAUGAGUCUGCGUACCAUUAGCUAGUUGGUAGGGUAAAGGCCUACCAAGGCUACGAUGGUUAGCUGGUCUGAGAGGAUGAUCAGCCACACUGGAACUGAGACACGGUCCAGACUCCUACGGGAGGCAGCAGUGGGGAAUUUUGCGCAAUGGGGGAAACCCUGACGCAGCAACGCCGCGUGAGUGAUGAAGGCUUUCGGGUCGUAAAGCUCUGUCAGAGGGGAAGAAAUGAGUCUGGCUAAUAUCCAGGUUUCUUGACGGUACCCUCAAAGGAAGCACCGGCUAACUCCGUGCCAGCAGCCGCGGUAAUAC